AGCAGCCGCGGUAAUUCCAGCUCCAAUAGCGUAUAUUAAAGUUGUUGCAGUUAAAAAGCUCGUAGUUGAAUUUCGGGGUCAGUAGGUCGGUCGUGCCACUGGUAUGAACUGGUUUCACUGAUUCCUCCCUCUUGUAGAACCGUGAUGCCAUUAAUUUGGUGUUGCGGGGAAACAGGACUGUUACUUUGAAAAAAUUAGAGUGUUUAAAGCAAGCUAACGCUUGAAUACAUUAGCAUGGAAUAAUGAAAUAGGACGUCUGUCUUAUUUUGUUGGUUUCUAGGAUGGACGUAAUGAUUAAUAGGGAUAGUUGGGGGCAUUAGUAUUCAAUUGUCAGAGGUGAAAUUCUUGGAUUUAUUGAAGGCUAACUACUGCGAAAGCAUUUGCCAAGGAUGUUUUCAUUAAUCAAGAACGAAAGUUAGGGGAUCGAAGACGAUCAGAUACCGUCGUAGUCUUAACCAUAAACUAUGCCGACUAGGGAUCGGAUGAUGUUAAUUUUUAAUGACUCAUUCGGCGCCUUACG
rnacentral:rRNA from 1 species